rfam:Myotis davidii contig3848, whole genome shotgun sequence.
AGCUUCACACAGCGGCAGCAUCGUAGCCAAUGAGGUUUAUCCAAGGUGCGAUUAUUGCUCAUUGAAAAAACCAUCAAUG